rnacentral:misc_RNA from 1 species
AAGUCGUAACAAGGUUUCCGUAGGUGAACCUGCGGAAGGAUCAUUAACACUGAUCACCUUAUCAAACCAAUUGUGAACUUGUACUCUGACCUACAUAUAUGUCUAAAAGUGUUUAUCAGUUGAUAGUUAUGUGUAAUUGUUCUUAGAGAGCUUUAUACAUGAUUGAUAAACUGGAGUUAAAUCUCCAAACUUUAUAUAUGUUAGGCUUUCCUUAUCAAUACUAUCUUGAUAUAACACCUAUUAACCCCAAACCAAACUUAUAAAUUAACAUUUGUACUAAACAAAAAUGAUUCCAUAAACAAGAUGCUUUUGAGCUUAAUUGCUCGAGUAUAUGUUAUUGGCAAUUAUUAAACACUAACGCAAAACAACUCUUAGCAACGGAUAUCUCGGUUCUC